UCCACACGACUGCUGUCGUCAUGAUCUUAUCAUUCAUUCUACCCGGUUCGAACUCCGUACCAGUGUGUAGCACGGCACGACAAGAAAUGCCAGAUGAUUUUGAUAUAUUCGCACCGGAAUGCCAUCAUCCACAACACAGCAGUGCCAUUCGAAAAUACUACGCCCGCCUUCCCGGUCAAAUAACGGUGUCCAUAGACAACAUUAGCAGAAUUAUGGCAUCACUGUCUUCACAAAGCAAAGAGAAGUGGGAGUUCAUGUUUGAUGUAUUGAGCCGAAGUGAGAUGUUCCUGCCCUGUACGACGGAGGUUUCAGACUUAAAGCAACAUCUGAGCGCAAUAAACCCAGAGCAGAUCGUCUACAACAGAGAUGAGAUAGAAAGAGUGCACGUAAAAUGGACUAGAGCAUUAAUGUGCCAUACGAUCUACCUUCACCACGCGAAACGAAACGCGGAGUGCUCCAGUGACGACUUACAGGCCUUAGCGAUAGCUAACGAUAAAAUCAUUACCACGUCCAGACGACUAAUGUGUACAUUCGCGCCCCGAAGUCUUCCAGCAGAUCUCCGAGCAGAGAUUGAAAGUCACCCAGCAUAUCACGUGCCUCACAACUCGUAUAGGCGGGAAAUUGACAAUUACAUAAUCUUGAGUAGCUUUAAAAGUUUGUUGGAGGAGGCAAAAUGGUUUCUCCAGCAAGCUAUGGAAGGAUACAAGACAGCACUUCUCUGACAAACGGCCGAGGAUGUGACAUCCUCCUCAAGCGAUAACCCUGCUUAAUCCUCGCUAGAAACGAGGCUGCUUUUCGGACGAUGCUAUUUGACGCUUUUGUUUUUCCGCAUGCCAUGAAAUGGAGACGGACGAUAAUGAUACUGCAUUUAAUGACGUCACAGACGGACUCGGUAUUCGCGUAAGCUGAUCCCCAGAUUGUUCUAAUUAUUGUUGAUGGAUAUACAGCAGAAUCUUUCAAUAUAUAUUUAUUGAAAGGCUCUGGACACAGUUACUGACAAGAUUGUUGAAAUGGCUUUUUGACAAUGGGUUUUUUCUUAGCAUAAUAGUAAAUAAGUAUAUUUUAUUUCUUUAAAGUACAGUAUCACCCCGCCUCACCAGCUCAACCUGAAGACUUAACUAUAGGUGCAGACUUUCAUCGUUAUAGUAUAUUGACAAAAAGAGUUCGUAUACUCAACUCUAAUUUCAUUCGUUUUAAAUCUUCAGCUGCACCCGCAUAAUGCUUCAUGUUACCGGUAAAGAUUACGUUACAUUUUUUUCUUAUUUGUGAGCUGGCAAUUCAAGAAUAGGUCAACCUACUUUUCGCGUGUCUCGGGAUGUGCCGUCUGAUUGUAUGGGCUCUGCUGCGUCACAUUUCUACGUAUCGUUUCUAUGCCUUUUGAUCCGAAAGUUGGAAAUCAUUACAAAAUAUAUCCCGUCGUAUAUCAAUUUGAAAAGUAUGGGCUACGUGACACUCUAUAAUAUUACAAACCGUGCUGGCACGGACUUGCAUUUGCAUUUAAACUCCCAACUUUCGGCAAUGGGUUAAUGAUAUUUUGACUGUAUAAUGAUAAUGACCGAUCUCCACAUUCACCUUCGGGUAACUAAUGUAAUAUUUAGUAAUAGUAUUUAUUUAUUUAUUUUUCGACGUAACUUUAACUUGUAAUUCCAUUCAAAACGCCCCUAAAAACAAGAUAUACAAAUAAUAUAAUAUUUAUUUGUAGUUUCACCGAGUAAUGAAGUAUAUUUGGGACACUGUAGAGCAUGCACAUAUAUUAAUAAUUAUCAUAAAAUCGCGUAUAUUACGUGUGUAAUCCAUUCCUCUACCGAACUGUGAUUCUGUGCUGCCUAUGUGUGGUAGA